rnacentral:lncRNA from 1 species
UUAGGUAUAUUGUAUACUCUGUGUCAUUUUCUCAGUAUCAACAGUAACUGGCCGGAAGAGGGCGGGCAGGCCAAGGAGCGAACUGCCCGCCAAUUCCAACUGUUCGUUUCCAACCCAGCAUGGGUGGACCUUCACAGAAUAAGAACGUUCCAUCCGUUUCCUUCCAGGUGUCUCACCAAAACGGAGCCUGCAAGCCAGGAAUGUUAUUGAUGGUACCUACCCCGAACUCAUCCAGUAUGUCCUCCAAAUCACUUGGACACACUGAUCUCAGUUCUGUUUCGGAUGAGAACAGUUCAUGUGACAUCUCUCGCAGCAAGAACAGCACGGACGACACAGCUGCAGCAACUGAGGACGAAGAAGGCAGCAAUGAUGUCCUCAGGGACAAUAUAAAAAAAUUUAACACAUUGACUCCCUGCAUCGUAAUCGAAACUGAGGAAGAAACGAGCUUAGACAAAACAACAUUGGAUCCCAGCAACAUGGUCUAGUCUUUCAGCAAGAAAUAACAUUUUUUGAUGAUUCUGUCUGCAUUAAACCUUUUGUAUACUUACUUGUGAUAUCUCAAGUGAUGCAGACACUCAAUGAAGAUAAUUUAACUUUAUUUGGUGCAAAGCUAAUCUGAGAAUAUUGGGAAGCAGGGAAGAGAAAUUUUCUUUUAAUGUUCUUGCUUUUCUUAUUAUUGAACAUUAUUUCUGAAGUUAUUUGGAUAUUUAUUAUUGUUUUUUUCAGUUAGCGUAAAUGUUCUGUUCAACAAGUUUUGUUUGUACAUUUAUGAUCACCAAUCUGUGAUCACCUAUAUUUUUUCCACUUGCAGGACUGGAAUUAUCAUUAUUUUCGCAAGUUCUAUAAAAAUAUCGAAAACAAUAGUCCUUAACGAGCUGUGUAAGAACUUUCCAGAUCUGUAUGGCUGUAGCGCAAAUGCAUGUAAUUCAUAUGCCAUUCUAGUUCUGCUAUUAAAUCUUUUGAAAGAAUGGGUAAUAAUAGAAUUUUAAUCUUUGCAUUAUAAAUUAGACAUCAAAUGAAGGACCUAAACUAUAAAUUUUUUGGGGAACUCUGACAUCAUAUUCUGAGUUACUAAAUAAUAUGCAUAAGAUUGAACAAUUAUGAAUUUCAAUACACCAUUAGCUCAUUCUUUUGGACUAAAAUAUAUUCCGAGAUAUAUUGCUUCACAGAUAUGUACUUUUUGUGUCUUUCCUCAUGAUUUCAGAUUAACUUUGUCCCAAAUAUGGAUUACACAAUGACAACAUGAAAAGUACAUUGAAAUAAGACUCUUUGUAACGGUUUUUGCAUAUAAUACCCAGACCUUUUGUACGAAAAUUGUUAAAGCUUUUAGGCUUCCAGGUACUUGUAUAAAGUGUUGGUACAUCUGAAGUAGUUACCUGCAGCACUAAACAUUUGUCUUACCGAAAUAUUUCUGUCUGUAUUUGGAAAAUGAAUAUAAAGAAGAAUGUUAGUCUUUUAAGCUAGCUUUCUUUUCUAAGACUACCUUCUGUAUGUAUUUUAGAAUUCGUUUUUCUUAUCGCAGUUGUCCUCAGUUAUUGCGUACUUUACUCGUAGUAUCCCAAGCCAUCAUCAUAAUACGAGUUAAUAUUGCGUUUAUCCAGCAUCGCAAUGUAACUAAGUAUUGCACCUUUUAAUCAAUUUCAUCUUUAACUCUUAUACAAGUGGUAUUUUAAACUAUAAUAUGAAUUAUUAAAUUCUUGCUUCACAAAUUCCCACAGAUAUUCAUAAAUAUUUUGACAACUUCUUUAAGAAGAAUCACUUUAAUAUUUUAAUCGAAUUUAUUUUGCACUGCGAGCAAUAUAUUCAGUUUAAAAAUCGCAGUACAAACCAAAUUCGAUUCUACAGUAGUUCCAUAUUUUAAUUUAAAUUAUGGUCCAGUUACAGAAUUUGCCUUAAGAAGACAUUUUUCAGUACUUUUCUAAUAAAAAUCAUUUACAAUGUUUCAAUCAAAUAAUAAAUUUUCAAUGUUUUGGAGCUCAUAUUAAUUUACUUAAAAUAGUAAAUACUCAUUUUUCAAGUUAAUCUUUGCUAUUUUUCACUAACAAAGCUGCAAUAUUUGCUAAUUAAACUGCUUUCAUUUUGGCUAGUCUCUAGCAUUUAUUCUUUACAAUUUUACUUCAUUUUUCAUUUUAACAAUAAAUUAUUAAUUAAAUUCUUAAAAAUUGUUUAAUUAAAGUAAAUUCUAUUACAUAUUGCAUUGAAUUUCAUAUGCAUCUCAUUGCCAAAAUUUAUUCUACUGUUAGCUGUGAAUGAAGAAUUAAGAAAUUUAAAUAGUAAAUUUAAUUUGAGUUUAAGUAAUUAAAUUUUCUUCCUUUCACUACUUUACAGCCUAAAUGAAAGUAAAGGCUAAGCAACAAUAGCUGUACUGGAAUACUUUUCAACUAGAGAGUUUCGAGCUCUUAUUCUGUUGAUCUUAAGAUAAUUUAGAAGAAUUUUACGCAUUUCGAAGGCAUGAGAAGUUACUCAAGACUUUACCUCAAAUUUUAUUUAAGGUACUUUCUAGCCUAAAAAUCGAUUUCUUCUGUUUGGAAUUCAGUGCUGCAUAUCGAAAAAUAUUUUGUAAAUUAAAAACGUAAAGAAGAAAGAGCAUUUAAAAUUCGCCAGUGAUUACCUUAAAAACAUUUUAACAAGCACAAUAAUAAUUUGUUAUAGAUUUUGAUGUUACACGGCGACGCGUUUUUCAAAAAGAUUCCACUUUUUCAAAUAACAUUUUCAUCAAUAAGAAAUAAUGUUUUAUAUUGAGUACUAAUUUUGAUAAGACGCAGAAUUUUUUUUUUUUUUUUUUUUUUUUUUUUUUUUUUUUUUUUUUUUGUUUUUUGUUUGUUUAUGUGAGCAGCAACGAAAAAUUUCAUUUAAAUAAGCUAUAUCAAAAAGUCUUCAUUGUUUGAAAGAACACGUAGGGAGCACAAAUCAAAAUAACAAUGAUAAAAAAAAUCAAAAAACGAAACACUUGAUAUUUCGAUUUGCACAAGAAUGUAAAAUAGAAAGUUUUGAAAUUCUAACUACGUACUAGUCAUUUUCAAAUUUUCUACUAUUAGUGAAAGUAUUUUGUAAAGUUUUAAAAAUAUGAUAUUGUUUACAAUAAUUCAUAUUGAUGAAAUUCACAAAAUUUUGAGUUCCACAAUUAUUACCAAAGUGUACAUUUCAGUACAAAUGAAAUUUAUUGUCAUUAUUAGUUUUAAAAUUUGAUACAAAAGUAGUUAUUACGUUUAUGUACUUCUACGGAAUUGCAGCAACCGCAUUCUGUUCGCAAUCUUUGUAUAAGAACAAUAAACAAAUGCUUCUUUGAGAAAG